GCCAGGCAUUGUGGCGCACGCCUGUAGUCCCAGCUACUCGGGAGGCUGAGGCAGGAGAAUCACUUGAACCCAGGAGGCAGAGGUUGCAGUGAGCCAAGAUCGUGCCACUGCACUCCAGCCUGGGUGACAGAGUGAGACUCUGUCUCAA
rnacentral:SRP_RNA from 2 species